ensembl:lncRNA
AUUCAAAGGGAUGCAAGGAAAAUGGAGGCAGAAGAAACAAUUUAUGAUGCUGGAGAAGAAGGAUUCUUUUUUCCAAGAAUCAUUGCUGGAUGCUCAUGGAAGCAAACAAAAAUCAAGCAGGCCACUUGGAAAUCAAAGCAUAUUUUAAAAUGAAGGAUUUGUUUUUAUCCUUACCAGGAGUAAAAGCUGGAAUGAACCUGGGCCCGCUGUUACCAUGAAGAAAGAUGUAUACGUUCUUUAAACCACAGAGUGGAAGUGAGGACUACGUGUUUUCUUGCUUUUCAGCACGAAGUGAUAAGAACAGCCUUCAAGUAUCCCAGUCUACUGAGAUCAGUGGGAAAGUCUGGAGCAAGAACUUAUCGAUGGUGGAGAAUGAUUACAGGAGAAAGACUUUCAAUAAACCGGGCAUGUAUAAUUCCACGGUACCUGACAGUUUGCCCCCAUGAAUGCUGCAGGAGCUGAUGUCACUGCGAGGUCACUCUCAGUAAUCUUUGAAAAGUCACGGGGGAAGAUUCUUAUUGACUGGAAGAAUGCAAAUGCCACUUCUAUUUCAGAGAAGGGCAAGAAGGAAGAUUUCAGAAACUACAGAUUUCUGAAGAUGAGACAGCACCACGUCCUGAGUAUUUUCCUAAGACAAUGAGCAACUAGCUUUGUAUGCUGUCCUUAGGAGGAAAGGUUUGCUGUGGGUUGUCACUGCAUCAGUUUGAAGGAACUCAACUUCAAACUCACCAAAUUGCAUUCCUAUCCUUGAUUAAAAAAACCAACAACAACAAAAGAAAACAAAAAAACAACCAAUAUUUAGAAGCCAAUAUCCCAAGAUUCUCUCUUCUUAUUGUAUUUGGCUACAAAAGACUGCAUUAAACAUUAACAUUUGUGAUGGGCUUAUUUUCUGCAAAGCGUCUAUGUAUUUUGGAG